ensembl:snRNA U6 U6 spliceosomal RNA
GUGCUCACUUCUGCAGCACAUAUACUAAAAUUGGAACAAUAUAGAGAAGAUUAGCAUGACCCCUGGGCAAGGAUGACAUGCAAAUUCAUGAAGUGUUCCAUAUAAAU